UACGUAGGGGGCAAGCGUUGUCCGGAAUUAUUGGGCGUAAAGAGCUCGUAGGCGGUUUGUCGCGUCUGCUGUGAAAACUCGGGGCUUAACUCCGGGCCUGCAGUGGGUACGGGCAGACUAGAGUGCGGUAGGGGAGACUGGAAUUCCUGGUGUAGCGGUGAAAUGCGCAGAUAUCAGGAGGAACACCGGUGGCGAAGGCGGGUCUCUGGGCCGUAACUGACGCUGAGGAGCGAAAGCGUGGGGAGCAAACAGG
rnacentral:rRNA from 1 species